UCACACUUUAUGGCCAGCUGAUAAGCAUAUUAUUAUUAUUGCUACUAUUACACACCCACCGCACACAUCGCACACACACCGAUUCCCAUUCGCAUUCGCAUUCUCAUUCUCAUAUAUAUGUACACAGUCAUUCCGAGCCCGACUUUGGCUUGAAUUAUUUCCGUAUAUGCGAGUAUAGGUACGUACGGGUGCGAGUGAAUAUGUGUGUACACUUAUUGUUGUAGCCCCACGCAGUUGGCGGCGAAUGUGUCGAAACGAAAUUUAUUACAACGAAGUCGUGCAGCUGUAACCAGCAGAGCCCCAGCCUCCCAAAGAUGGUGCCGUGACGUGAGUGAUGCGUGAGGGAAACCAUGGGAUGAUGGCUAUAGGCAAUGCUUAAAGAUCUUUCCCAGCAAUAGUACUUGGUUAUGUGGU